rnacentral:pre_miRNA from 1 species
CGAACUGUGGAUGAGCAACAGAAGCAAAGCCCUUCUGCUGCUCAUCCACAGUUCUCC